CACGUAGGGCGCAAGCGUUGUCCGGAAUUAUUGGGCGUAAAGAGCUCGUAGGCGGUUUGUCGCGUCGUUCGUGAAAACUCACAGCUUAACUGUGAGCUUGCGGUCGAUACGGGCAGGCUAGAGUUCGGUAGGGGAGACUGGAAUUCCUGGUGUAGCGGUGAAAUGCGCAGAUAUCAGGAGGAACACCGGUGGCGAAGGCGGGUCUCUGGGCCGAUACUGACGCUGAGGAGCGAAAGCGUGGGGAGCGAACAGG
rnacentral:rRNA from 1 species